GCGGGGCUCGAUCCCAGGACCCUGGGAUCAUGACCUGAGCUGAAGGCAGAGACUUUAACCCACUGAGCCACCCAGGCGCCCCUGCUGUUAUUUCUUAAAAUAACUUUUCUGCCCCCCUUUCUCUCUCUUUCUGAGACACCUAUGAUAGGAAUGUUACUACAUUUGAUGGAGUCACUAAGUUCCUUAAGUCUAUUUUCAUGUUACAUAAUUCUUUUUCUUUUUUUUUUCAGCUUCAUUAUUUUCCUUUGUUUUCUUGUUAAUUCAUUCCUCUGUUUCUUCCAGCCUACUCUUCAUUGCAUCAAACCUGUUUCCAGUCUCAUUUAUUGCAUUCUUCAUUCUUCAUUUCUGAUUCUGAUAUCAGAUAUCACUGAUAUCUUCUGUUCUUUUCUCAAGCCCAGUGAGUAUCCUUAUGAUUGUUGCUUUAAAUUCUCCAUCAGUUAUGUUACUUAUAUUUGUUAUGCUUUUAUCUCUGUCUGUGGCCUUAUCUUGUUCUUGCAUUUGGAAUAAAUUACUCUGUCUUGGCAUUGUGUCUAAUCUCUACUUUUUUCUGUGUGUUAGAAAAGCCCAUUAGGAUUUCUGCUCCUGAAAGUAAUGGUCUUUUUGAAAAAGAGGUCAUGUAGUGCUCAGAGCUGGUGCUUCAGGGAGUGUCUCCAGUGUGUGCUGCCUACACUCUGCUGUUGUGUUUUGGCCGUUCUGUCUUUUAGGCCAGUCCUCUGUAGAGGCUCUCCUUAUUUGCUGUGGACAGAGUUUGGUCCCUGGCCUGAAUGUGGUGAGUUUUAACUAGGUAUACUCUGGUCUACCUAUGAAAUGAGUUUUGACACCACUCCACCAAAACUGAGGCCCUGCAGAACUCUGGUGGAGAGAUGUGUGUGGGUAGGGGUUUGUGCUGAUAUUCAGGGGUAGUGGCCCACCACAUUACAGCUGAGGCAAGCUUGACUAAGAAGGCAGUCCUAAGAGCACAGGGGUGUGGGGUCUGUUGUAAGCAAGUUAGACAGCCAGUGUCAGUGCUGAGCUGCUUCCUUCUGAUGGGUGUGUUUUGGGGGGGGUGGGGGGUGUUGGCUCAAGGGAAAUGUCACCAGCCAGCUCCUUUGUUUUCAGAGAGGUAUCUGAAUAUUGAUAAUCCGCCCCCUACACACACACACACACACACACACCCAUAUCCUAUGCAUUUUUUCCAGAUGGCUGUUUCCAUGCUGUUUGCCCCCAGGUCGUUUGCCUGCCUUCUCUUCUGGAGUACCACAGUACCCUCUGGGCUCUAUCCCAGCCAAGCCUGUUGACCUUUAAAACUCCAGGCUUUAAGUCUCACUCUUUGUAAGAACCCAAAGAAAUUAAGCCUUCUCAUUUUCCAAGCCAAUGGCUUCUAGGAAAUAUUCUCCUGGAUUUGCCCCCCUGGCUGCUGCUCUCUCCUGCCCUUCUCCACGACCACAGUUCCCUCCCCUCCACAGCAGCCAUGAUCCAUUUCUCCCCUAAAACACAUUUCCACACUUCCUGCUUCUUUGAUGUGGCCUCUUCUCUCCCUUUAGUUGUGGAGCUUGUCUGUCAGUCGUAAGGUUGAUUUCUGGGGUAUUUAUAGUGAUUUUAUCAUUAGACAAAAUGAGCAUAGGGUACUCCUGCUCCACUGCCAUCUUUUCUCUCUGUGUAUCUUCUCCAAUCAGGUGUCCUGUGAAUUUGUCCAUUUCAUUUAAGAUGCUAUAUUGUGGUGCCACCAUUUUCUUGCCAGUUUCAGAACUGCAGUUCUUGUGGUGUGGUUAUCUGAUGGUCCAUAGCCACAAGUCUGGUACAGUUCCUGACCAUAACAACACAGUCACUGAAGUAAGGUAAGGAACAUGGUGGUAUUAUUCGUUGCACAGAAUAUAAGUAAAGAUUAUUGUAACAUAGAGUUCCUGAUGCUUAACUACAAAAAGGUAAGAGAAGAGAUAGUGGAUUCUAGGUGUUUCUCGUCUGAAGAAGCAGCCUUUUCUUUAAGCAUCUGUUCCUGUCACUAGGGAGGAGAGUUAGUUACUUAUUGAAAGAUAUCCUAAUUCUUUAAUGAGCAAAGGCUGGAUCCGUAUCACGUUUGCGCUUGGAAGUGUUCAUCAGAAAAUAGGAAACUAGCAUUUCCCAUUAAUGUUUUUGAUGUUUUCCAAACCAAAACAAGGUCAGGAGGGUACUCUACUUGUAUUUAAUAAAAGUGUUGCUUUCCCAUAGCUUAGGUAAGAUGAACAGUAGGGGAUUUAAAGGUGUGUCUGUCUGGUAGGUAUUACACAAACCAAAGAGAAGGAGAGCUUAGGACAGAUGAAAUGAUGUGUACAGGAAGUAACUGAGCUCUAACUUUUGGUCAAAAUACUUGAAUCUCCUUAACCCUAAAGGUUUGAGGUUAACUAGUCAGUUAUAAAGUAGAUUUUAGAGGCCCCUGUGUGGCUCAGCAUCUGACUUUUGGUUUUGGCACAGGUCAUGAUCUUGCAGUUGUGGGAUCAAAAGCCCCUUGUCGGGCUCUGUGAUCCACAGAGUUUGCUUCAGCUAAUUUCUCCUGCCUUGGCCUCUCCCCACUCAUACUCUAAAAAUAGUACAUAAAAUCUUUUAAAAAAACUUCUUAAAAUUUUUAAGCCAAGCCAGUUUCUAGUCAUUAAGUCAGCAUUUACUGACUUAGCUGGUCAUUGGCUAGAUUCAGUCCUUAGUACCAGAACCAUGUAACGAGUAACACACCUUGCAAACUAUGCAGUGUAGCUGUAGAAGCUGCUGAUGCCAUAGAGAAAAGCCUCAUGAAUGGUUUAUUGGGCAUAGAACAUCUAAGCUUUUAUAUCUUUAUAUAUGUCUCUGUGUAAAGAAGGUAACGCUUAACCAUUUUGAGAUUCCCUGGCUGGAAGUUAGGUGCUUGGUGUACUUGGUUAUUAAAUGGUUUCUCAGUUCAAGUGUCCUAAGUCAUAGAUCUCCCAAAGAAAUCUCUAAAUCUGGGAGAGGGCGUAGGACAGUGACCAAGGAGGCAGUGGUGUCUGUCGUUGGGCUCAAAACUGUAUGUAGGGUUCCACCUCCUUAUCAGUACAACUGAUGAGCCUGCUCAGUGUAACCUUUCCAGGCCAACCACAAACUCAGGAAGAAGCCACCUGGCCUACAUACACUAUCCACAACCUGCCCCCUUUCCUCACAAUUAAAGAUCCCAAGUUUUGAGAUGAGACUGAGGUUCUUAGGAAUAACAUCACCUUAUAUUCUAAGUUCUGUCAUUAUUUCUGAAAUGUGGGCUGCAAGCAGCUCUCAUGUGAUUUUAGGACUGAGCAAACACUGAGCACACAUGGUCCAACAGUCACUGGCCCCAGCCCUUGUUAGGUCACAUGGAAGUUGCCCUUGUGUAAUUCCUUCCCGUGAGUGUGGGCAGGACCUAGACCUAGAGACUGGCUUCUGAAGAACAGAAUACAGCAAACAAUAGGAUGUCUGUUCCAGGACUGGGUUAUAAAACACUGAAUUCUGCCUUGCUCAUACUCUCAGGCUCUUCUUGUUCUGAUAAACCCAGCUGCCCUGCCGUGAGAUUCCUUUAGGAGAGCCUCACGUGGCAAGGAACCACAUCCUGCUGACGACUAUCUCAGUGGGCUGAAAGCACAUUCAUUCCUAGUUAAGCCAGAGGAUCCUACUGAGCUCUGUCUGGAUUCUGGAACCACAGAAGCUAUGAGGUCUUAAGUGUCUGUUGCUUUAAGCCAGUAAGUUUUGGAGUAAUUUGUUAUGUAGGAACAGAUAACUAAUAGAGCUUCUAUACAGCGAAUUACGUAAUGUGAUGUUUUGGAUUCCUCAUCUAUAAAUUAGGCACAUAAGUAUCUACCUUCAUAAAGUUACUGUGAAGUGGUUACUGGCUCAAACACAAGAACGGUACUCUUGUUACUGCGUGAACUACACGAGAUCUAAAACUACAGAAUGAUUCCAGUACACACACACACAUUAGAAGGGAUGGGAAAGAAAAAGACUAAAAUAUUUUCUGUUAGCUCUUGGUGAUAUUAGAAUCUUUACACUAGAUAUUUGUCUUUAUAAUAAAAGAAUAAGUAUAAUGGGCAUCUUUCAAUCACAUUAACUCUGAUACUAUGAACAGAGGCGUAAAGGCAACAUCACUUAAGACAUUUCUUCUAUUAGGUAGAUUCACGAAAUUACUUAGGAUAUAUUGGUGCCAACAGGAAUUAUGUAUCUAUUCAAACGCUGUUCUGUAGUUCAGAGUUGUCUAGCUAUCGAUGUAGAUUUCACCAUUUCUCAGUUUAGAGUAACUUCCAAAAGUCAUAGAGUAGAACUGACAUAAACUGUGAUUUCACUGGUUCCCAAAGUAUAUUUUAAGACCUCUGGGGGUCUAUAAGACCCUUUUUCAAGGAGUUUGCAAGGUCAGAAAUAUUCUCAAAACAAUAUUAAAAUCUGUAGUAGUUUGAAGAGUGGUCUCCAAAAAUUUACAUCUACCUAGAACCUGUGAAUGUAACCUUAUUUAGAAAUAGGGUCUUUAUAAAGGUAGUUAGUUAAGAUGAGGUCAUACUAGAUUGAAGUGGGCCCUAAAUUCAGUGACUGUUGCCAUGUAAGAAUGUAGUGUGAGGAGACACAGGGAAGGAGGCCAUGUGACCACAGAGGCUGAGACUGGAAUUGGCGUGAUGUAGCUUUUAGCCAAGGCACACCAAGAACCGACUACUGCCAGAAGCUAGGAGAGCAGCAGGAACAAAUUCUUCAGCCUCUAGCUGGAACCAGCCCUGAACGCUUUGGUUUCCUGAACUGCAAGGAAAUACUAACUUGUCUUAAAUCAGGUUGUGGUAAUGAAGCCUCAGGAAACUACACUUGAUCUUAGCCAAAAGGCCGAGAAGCGAUGAAGCCUCAGGAAACUAACAGUGAUACCAGGAAGUGGGAUGCUGCUGGAACAAAGGCCUAAAUUUGUGGAAGUGGCUUUGGAAUUGGACAGUGAGUAAAGGGAGAAUUUUGAGAAAUGUGAUUAAAAAGUCUAAGUAUCUUUAAAUGAUCAUUAGUGGACAUAAGGACUUAAAAACAAUUUUGGUGACGGUUCAGAAGGAGGCCAUGGCGGCAGCAGAGAAAGUUUCUGUCGUCUCGGAGAAUUUCUACAUCACCAUGAACAAAAAUACUGAUAGAAGUAUAAACAUUAAAGGUGCUUCUGGUGCAACCUCAGAAAUGAACAUGUUGUUGGACACUGGAGGAAAAGCUAAAAGGUGGCAAAAACCUUGGCUGAAUUGUGUUCUGCUUCUUGGUUUAAAGAAGAACUUGUAAACAAUGAGGUUUCCAAGCAAAAAUGAAAGAUGUGGCCUGGUUUCUUGCUGCUUAUAGUAAAAUGCAAGGGGAAAGAAAGAAUUUGAGGAAGGAACUGGUUAGAAAAAGGAACUAAAACAUGAUGAGUUCGAAAAUUAACGUUCUAUCCAUACUGCCAACACAUUGCAAAGGCAUACCCUGGAGUGGUCACCAAGGAUGUGUGUGCUGGAGAGAUGAGGUUUAUGACCACAGACCCAAUCCGGCAUCUCAGCAGAAGCCAGGAAUAGAAGUGCAGUUAUCCAGGAAGGAUCUGUGGAGAAGCGUCGUGUCUAAUGACGUGGAUCUCCUUGACUUCCAUGAAGACUGACAGGUUUUUGAGAAUGCUACAUGAGCAGAAAUGCUGCUGGUUUGGCCUUGACAGGGAGAUAGGACAAGAUGAAGGAAGGCUGCCAGACUUCUGGGAUUCUGUAAGCAGGAAAUGAGCUGCCCAAAGGGUAAGAACAGAAUAUCAUGCUCGGUCAUUAUCUCAAUAUUGUGCGAGAUGUGUGUUGAUCCCUUGGCCCCAUCCUCUCCGACGGCCAUGGCAAAUAACUCCACCUUGAGUUCUGUCUGCAAACCAGCUGCCACCUAUAGGACACAAGGUAGCUUUAGAGUCAGACAUAUCUGAGUUCACAUCUUGGUUUUAACUUGAAUUGGGGCUAGUUACACUCUCUAAUCUUUUUUUCUCAUCUAUAUGUUUGGUGCUUUUGGAUGAUGGCAUUUAUAAAGUUAUUUUGUGGGUUCGUUAGGUAGAGUUCCAUUGAGCAAAUGGGACCCAGGAUAAAUUGAAGGAGAAAACCAGAUGCUAUUUAGGAAGAGAAUGUCGGUGUACUGUGGUGAACUGCAGGAAAACUUUUACAAUGCACAUACUUGUGCUAUUUCUUGAAUGUUAGCAGUGAGUUCCUAUGGGCAUCCCUGCAGAUAAAGGUAAAUUUAAACCCCACAACUUCCCUGCCCUGCUUCUUGGUUUAUAGUGUGCCUAAUGGAGGACGUGUGAUGUGACAAAGCCAGCAGAGGGAGACAGAAUGAGUUUAAAUGCCAAACUGCUUAGGUCUGAAAGCUACGUGGAAGAGGUCUGGACCAACAAAGAAGAAACCUGAUAUAUAAUGAAGAAGAAACACAGCAAGGAAUGGGCUUCUUGCCUUGUUCCUUGAAGAGAACACUGGCCAGGAAAGAAAGAGCUGUUUGUGUUUCUAAGCUGCCUCUCCAGGAGGUAGGCUAAAAAGCAGACUUGAGAACAACUGUCUGGAAAAAAUACAUCAGAAACCACCACAUGGAAAGCAAUUAGAUACAAGUACUUUUUUCUUCAUAGUUUAUAAAUAAUAGAACUGAAAAAUGUUUCAACUUCUUCAACAAUGUACUUAUGAAGGUCUGCUAACUGGAGGGCAUCCAACUCACCAUGUCUGAGGACCAGGCCCUUGGCCCUUCAGCCCAACAAUGAGGGCAGGGCUAGGAUGACACCACUCUGCACAAGGCAGCUGGCAUCCUGCCCCCGCUCAGGUCUACCCGGACCCUGGGCAUAUUCAUUCAGCGUUGGCAACUAAGCAGGCUGAACAGUGGUUAGAUUUACAUAUGGAGGAGUCUAUAGAUUAUAUUUUUGCAGAGCCAAAACUGUCAAAAAGAAAAUAACAAUAAUAAUAAUUUAAAAAAACCCUAACAGUAGAGAGUGAGCUUGAAUACACGCUGAGUUUUUAGUACCUACAAAGGUUGAUCCAACAGUCAUUUUGACUUUUGGCAUCACCCCUACUUUAAAUGAAAAAAGUUUUCUAACUUAUCAGAACAAUGGAAGAAGAGCUUGCUUUGAUUUUUGCUUUUACUUUAUGUUCCAGAGUUUCUGGAAUCUUGACACAGUUCAGUGAUGAAAUGUGACAGAGAGGUACUCAUGAAUUGGUGGAGCUAAUCCCGAAGGAUAUUUCUGUUUGGAACUGCAGCCUGCAGACUACUGUGCUGUAGACCAUAAGAUAUUAGGGCUGGAAACGGACUAAGAAAUUAUCAGGUCCAAGCAACUUCUUUUGCACAUGAGGAAGGCAAGGUACAGAGGGUUAAUUAACCAAAAGUAUGACUGAGCUGCUGGUGGCACAAUCAUAACAAGAGGCCAACUGAUUCUGCACCCUAUCAAAUGGACCCUUCUGGGUCAACGUACAAUUGUGGCUGUUCUAAGGUCUUGGGACUCAGUGAACACUAUAUGCUUAUUAUGGAAGUGGAUGCCGUUGCUCUGUAUUCCCAUGAGACUAAGCGUGUCCCUGUCUGUGAUGAACAAGCAUGUGUCUAUCAGAUGUCCUUACUUCAUUCUGUCACUUAGUCAUACAUUUUGAAUCCCCACUAUGUGCCCAGCUCUGGGAGCAACUUAGAUAUGUCUACUCAUUUUUAACAUCCCCUGUCCCCGGUCCCUAUCAGUGGCGUUCAAAGUUUGUUGAAUGAAAUGGAAGGAAUGUGCCAAGAAAUAAUGUUAAGAUUUACAAGUGUGA